CCUACGGGAGGCAGCAGUGGGGAAUUUUGCGCAAUGCUCGUAAGAGUGACGCAGCGACGCCGCGUGAAUGACGAAGGCCUUCGGGUCGUAAAGUUCUUUCGACAGGGAAGAAAAUGCCUAUAAGUAACUGUGUAUGUAUUGACGGUACCUGUAUAAGCAGCCCCGGCUAACUCCGUGCCAGCAGCCGCGGUAAUACGGAGGGGGCGAGCGUUGUUCGGAGGGACUGGGCGUAAAGAUCACGUAGGCGGUGUUGUAAUUCAUUAGUCAAAGACUAGAGCUCAACUUUAGUAAGGCUAGUGAUACUAUAAUACUAGAGUAUCAGAGAGGAUUGCAGAAUUCCUGGUGUAGCGGUGAAAUGCGUAGAUAUCAGGAGGAAUACCGUUAGCGAAGGCGGCAAUCUGGCUGGAAACUGACGCUGAGGUGCGAAAGCGUGGGUAGCAAACAGGAUUAGAUACCCCUGUAGUC
rnacentral:rRNA from 1 species